UGCCAGUUAGUCAAUGCAUGAUCUGAGUACAUGUCCUGGGAAUCCGUCUGGCCCCUCAGCCCUGUGCAUGUUGACCUGUUUGAAGGUUUUGCUCACAUCGGCUACGGAUAGCGUGAUCACACAGUCGUCCGGAACAGCUGGUGCUCUCAUGCAUGCUUCAGUGUUGCUUGCCUCAAUGUGAGCAUAAAGGCAUUUAGCUUGUCUGAUAGGCUCACGUCACUGGGCAGCUCGCGGCUGGGUUUCCCUUUGUAGUCCAUAAUAGUUUGCAAGCCCUGCCACAUCUGACGAGCAUAAGAGCCGGUGUAUUAGGAUUUAAUCUUAGUCCUGUAUUGAUGUUUUCUUCUGUUUGAUGGUUCAUCUGAGGGCAUAGCGGGAUUUCUUAUAAGCGUCCGGAUUAGUGUCCCGCUCCUUGAAAGCGGCAGCUCUAGCCUUUAGCUCGGUGGGGAUGUUGCUUGUAAUCCAUGGCUUCUGGUUGGGAUAUGUGCAUACGGUCACUGUGGGGACAACGUCGUCGAUGCACUUAUUGACGAAGCCGGUGACAGAGGUGGUGUACUCCUCAAUGCCAUUGGAUGAAUCCCGGAAUAUAUUCCAGUCUGUGCUAGCAAAACAGUCCUGUAGCGUAGCAUCUGCAUCAUCUGACCACUGGUACCUCCUGCUUUAGGUACCUCCUGCUUUAGGGAGAGCUCUGUGUGUGGAGUAAAGGUGGUCUGGAGUUUUUUCCCCCUUCUGGUUGCACAUGUGACAUGCUGGUAGAAAUUAGGUGAAACGGAUUUAAGUUUGCCUGCAUUAAAGUCCCUGGCCACUAGGAGCGCCACUUCUGGAUGAGCAUUUUCUUGUUUGAUUAUGGCCUUAUACAGCUCGUUGAGUGCGGUCUUAGUACCAGCAAGUUGCAGAGAACGACUGCAUUGUUUGUUUAUCUAGCUAUCUAACAACUUGCAAGGCAAGUAUCACCCGGUCACGUUCAUAUUACCCACCUUGAUGCUGCAGACUCUCCCACUGUGUUUCCAGCAACAGCUUCUCCAGAACCUUCCAGCAAGUGGAGGGAAGGAGGGAGUAUGAGACCCCAGCUCCUCGCAGGUUCAACCCAAAGCCCACACUCUGGAACACCACUAAACUCCGGAACACCCAGAACACUACACAGCUGCACAGCUCCAGGACACAGAAUACACCUCACACAGUGCAAGGAAACUUCUGGAGGCCAUCCCUAACAACAGCAGCAGCUUGGCAGCCAGAGGUGUGCAGCAGCAGUUUUCUUAGGGUUGCCAUAGCAACACCACCGAUGGCAACCUGCAAACAGUGCAAUCCAGCUCAGAAGGAUCCCCAUGGCAACGGCAGCAGCAUUUGUCAGCUUCAUCAGAGAGUGAGAGGAGAGAGUAGGUAAAGGGCAAUUCCACGAUAAUGUAAUUACGCUGAGACUCAGGUUUUUCACUUUAAAACAUAUACCAAACAAAAAAACGUUUAUUUCAAAGUUGAACAAACCAUAGAACCAUAGGACUACUUUUAACAAUUUCCACAG
rnacentral:lncRNA from 1 species